UACGAAGGGGGCUAGCGUUGCUCGGAAUCACUGGGCGUAAAGGGUGCGUAGGCGGGUCUUUAAGUCCGGGGUGAAAUCCUGGAGCUCAACUCCAGAACUGCCUUUGAUACUGAAGAUCUUGAGUUCGGGAGAGGUGAGUGGAACUGCGAGUGUAGAGGUGAAAUUCGUAGAUAUUCGCAAGAACACCAGUGGCGAAGGCGGCUUACUGGUCCGGUUCUGACGCUGAGGCGCGAAAGCGUGGGGAGCAAACAGG
rnacentral:rRNA from 1 species